CUGGAAAAUAUCCAAAUACCCUUCCUUCUAAUUUUGCCACCUCUCCAAAAUGGGGGCAAUUUUGGUCAUAAAUUUACUUUUUUCAACUAAUGAUGUCAUAUAAUUGACUUCCAAUUGUAUAGUUGUUGUUUUGUGCCUUUGCUCUUUAGGAAUGAAUGAAUUGAUGAUGUCAUAUGGGGGAACUACAACUUAAUGGUUACUGAAAAAGUAUAUCUUUUUGAAUUGCCAAAUAGCUGUAUCUCACUAUCUUAAAUUCAAAAUUUCAAUUUCUUCUCUCUCUCAGUCCUUUCUCUCAUUCUCUCUCUUCCUUUCUCACUUUCUCUCUCACGUUUCUUCUCUUCCCUUUCCUUUUUCUUUCUUUCUUCUUUACAAACCGGAUGGUACUCUAUGAUACUCUUGGAGCGUUUCUGGUAUGUCCACGGAAACUUACGGAGCUUCGAAACUACUGAAGAUGUUGUAGUUAUUGUAUGUCACUCUUCAUGUUAGGGUUUGUGGUGAAUUUUGUGCAGGGAGGAUUUGGAGUAUAUAAAGGGUUUUGGUUUUGUGGCUAAGGUUCAAUAACGGGAAAAUUACGGUUUUAAUUUUAUAGAUUUAUCAUCGGUGUCCGGUCGAAGAGGUUGCCGGUUUGAACAUUGUUGCUGUUUUAUUGUUAUAGUGUCCACAAAAUCAAUGUUUUGUUGUUGUUGGUCGUAAACAAGCAUCUUUGAAAUUGCCUUUAAUGGUGGGAACAUAUUCGGUGUCGGCUUUGUUUCGUCAAGUGCAGGUUCCGAGAUGAGGUUGCCCGGAGUCGAGAGCGAAGUUGUCUGGAACAUGGAAACCCAGAUUGAAUCUUGCACCAUGAACUUCACUGGAUGAAAAGUCAUAUUAUAGAUGCAUGUGUACUGUUCGAAGAAAUGCCAAAGAGGAUAUUAGAUGCUCUUGCUGCACUAAUGCUCUUGCUGCAUCACUUCAGAAACCAACGAAAGAUAAGUAGUAGCUACAGGUUUUAUUGACUGAUUAUAAUGGACUAUUGUCAUGCAAUUAAGGGUGUUUUUAGAUAUUAUUCUAAUGCUGAUGCUGAUUGUUAGUGCUGAUCAAAGAGUCAAUGGUUCAAUCUAUAUCAGUAUUUGUCUUUAUGUAUCCUCUCUAAUUCAAUAAUUUUUCAAUCUGUGAAAUAACUUCACUCAUUUUUCUUUUUUGAAUACCUUUCUUUAUAUUCAUUUGAAGCAUCAAACAUGUCUCUUUGAUUAUUUUUCUUCAUUUGCUAUGGUUCCUUAGUUCUUAAAUUAUCCAACUAAAUGAGAUCUUUGUAUGUAGAGGUUCUUGC